rnacentral:rRNA from 1 species
GAUGAACGCUGACAGAAUGCUUAACACAUGCAAGUCGGCUCGAGUCUUCGGACUUGGGUGGCGCACGGGUGAGUAACGCGUACUCAACGUACCCUUCAGUUUGGCAUAGCGGUUGGAAACAACCGAUAAUUCCAAAUACUCGUAGAUGCCGCAUGGCAUUUACGGAAAAGACGCCUUAAAGCGUCGCUGGAGGAGCGGGGUGCGCAACAUUAGCUAGUUGGUGAGGUAACGGCCCACCAAGGCGAUGAUGUUUAGCGGGGUUGAGAGACUGAUCCGCCACACUGGGACUGAGAUACGGCCCAG